UCUUCGGAUUGUCAGUGGCAGACGGCUGAGUAACGCGUGGGUGACGUACCUAUCGAUGGGGAAUAACUGCCCGAAAGGGUGGCUAAUACCGCAUACGUCCGCUGCUUCAGUGCAGUGGGGAAAACCGCAAGGUGUCGAUGGAGCGGCCCGCGUUCGAUUAGCUAGUUGGUGGGGUAACGGCCUACCAAGGCGACGAUCGAUAGCUGGUCUCAGAGGAUGAUCAGCCAGACUGGGACUGAGACACGGCCCAGACUCCUACGGGAGGCAGCAGUUAGGAAUUUUGGGCAAUGGGCGUAAGCCUGACCCAGCAACGCCGCGUGGGUGACGAAGGCCUUCGGG
rnacentral:rRNA from 1 species